GCGUCCGUAGCCGGCUGGAAAAUUUCUCCGUUAAACCCAACGAUUCAAUCGUUGGACUGCGGGGAAUACUCUUCAGCUUGGGGGCGGGGGAAGUCGGCGGUAGUCCAGGGGUAGGGGCGAAAUCCUAUCAUCCUUGGAGGACCACCAGUGGCGAAGGCGGCCGACCAAAACGCGCCCGACGGUGAGGGACGAAAGCUGGGGGAGCGAACGGGAUUAGAUACCCCGGUAGUCCCAGCUGUAAACGAUGUGGGCUAGGUGUUGGGACGGGUACGGCCCGUCUCAUUGCCGCAGGGAAUCGUUAUGUCCACCCCCUGGGAAGUACGGCCGCAACGCUGAAACUUAAAGGAAUUGUCGGCGGAGUCCAAG
rnacentral:rRNA from 1 species